AGGUUGAUCCUGCCGGACUGACUGCUAUCUUAUUGGUACUAAGCCAUGCGUUCGUUGUACAAUACAAGGCGGACUGCUCAGUAACACGUAUUAACUUAACCUAUGGAUGGGCAUAACCUCGGGAAACUGAGAAUAAUACCCAAUGGACCACAGUGCCUGGAAUGGCCUGUGGUUGAAAUGAUUUAUCGCCGUAGGAUAGGACUGCGGCCUAUCAGCUUGUUGGUGAGGUAAUGGCCCACCAAGGCUAUAACAGGUACGGGCUCUGAGAGGAGGGGCCCGGAGAUGGGUACUGAGACACGGACCCAGGCCCUAUGGGGCGCAGCAGGCGAGAAACCUUUGCAAUGUGCGAAAGCACGACAAGGUUAAUCCGAGUGUCUCCUGCUAAAGGAGUCUUUUGUCAGUUGUAGAAUCACUGGUGAAUAAGGGGUGGGCGAGUUCUGGUGUCAGCCGCCGCGGUAAAACCAGCACCUCGAGUGGUCAGGAGGUUUAUUGGGCCUAAAGCAUCCGUAGCCGGUUGCAUAAGUUUUCGGUUAAAUCUAUGCGCUUAACGUAUAGGCCGCCGAAAAUACUGUGCAGCUAGGGAGUGGGAGAGGUCACGGUACUCGAUACG
rnacentral:rRNA from 1 species